rnacentral:sRNA from 1 species
GAGAGACAGAAAGUGAGAGAUAAAGAGAGAGGAAGAGAUAGUUAUUUUGAAAGAUAUUUAUAUUUAGAAUGCUAUUACUUAAUUCAUUCUUCACCCUCACCUCCUUAUUUUAUAUAUAAACCAUUCAACCAUUAUUUCACAGCUCCUUAUUUGUUUCUCUCUGGUUUUUGCAGUGCAUUUCUAUCCAAAGAUGUUUGAAGAGAAACGAACAAGUGACCCUGAUCAGUCAAGUGCUAGGUCACUCAAACAAAAGCGCACUUUGCUGACUUGCAAUGAACAUACAGCUAAGACGAAUCGGCUGUUUGUAGGUGACGAUUAUCACUGCCGACUGCCUUCAUAUGAACAACUGGCAUCAGGACAAUACGUCAGAAUCAACGACCUGUUUGGUAUUCCAUUCCUUGAGCUGCUGGU